AUACCCAACACCAGACAGAGCUUUCUAGAAGUCAGAGAUCUGCAAAACAUCAACUUCCCUAACUGCUUUGAAAUUUAGGAAAUAGGGCACUGCUAUAAAAUGUUGUCACUACAUUACAGAAUCCCUGGAGUCUGAUUAAGAGGGACUGAAAGCUCCCAGACACGGAUUGCCUGCCAGCCACAGCACGGAAAGGUCUGAUAAAGUCUUUUUUGGAGACUGCAGCAGCUUUCUGAGCUUCCGAAGGUUGACGCUGUUAGAGUGACAAUGAUGACGGAGCAAAACAGCUUCGAAAUUCCUAAGCAUCCACCC
rnacentral:lncRNA from 1 species